UCUGGCUGUACUAUUCCCAUUUUACAGAUGC
rnacentral:piRNA from 1 species